UUCCAGUGAUGAACUCUGUUUUGUGUUUGUGUCUGGGCCAAUGAACUACACUGAUGGGAUUGAGGAACUGUGGAA